rnacentral:rRNA from 1 species
GACGAACGCUGGCGGCGUGCCUAAUACAUGCAAGUCGAGUGGACGGAUGGGAGCUUGCUCCCAGACCGUCAGCGGCGGACGGGUGAGUAACACGUGGGCAACCUGCCUGUAAGACUGGGAUAACUCCGGGAAACCGGGGCUAAUACCGGAUAACUCUUUCCCUCACAUGAGGGAAAGCUGAAAGAUGGCAUCUCGCUAUCACUUACAGAUGGGCCCGCGGCGCAUUAGCUAGUUGGUGAGGUAACGGCUCACCAAGGCGACGAUGCGUAGCCGACCUGAGAGGGUGAUCGGCCACACUGGGACUGAGACACGGCCCAGACUCCUACGGGAGGCAGCAGUAGGGAAUCUUCCGCAAUGGACGAAAGUCUGACGGAGCAACGCCGCGUGAGUGAUGAAGGUUUUCGGAUCGUAAAACUCUGUUGUCAGGGAAGAACAAGUACCGGAGUAACUGCCGGUACCUUGACGGUACCUGACCAGAAAGCCACGGCUAACUACGUG